GACGAACGCUGGCGGCGUGCUUAACACAUGCAAGUCGAACGGACAGGCCCUGCUUUUGUGGGGUGCUCGAUUGGCGAACGGGUGAGUAACACGUGAGUAACCUGCCCUUGACUUUGGGAUAACUUCAGGAAACUGGGGCUAAUACCGGAUAUGAGCUCCUGCUGCAUGGUGGGGGUUGGAAAGUUUCGGCGGUUGGGGAUGGUCUCGCGGCUUAUCAGCUUGUUGGUGGGGUAGUGGCUUACCAAGGCUUUGACGGGUAGCCGGCCUGAGAGGGUGACCGGCCACAUUGGGACUGAGAUACGGCCCAGACUCCUACGGGAGGCAGCAGUGGGGAAUAUUGCACAAUGGGCGGAAGCCUGAUGCAGCAACGCCGCGUGCGGGAUGACGGCCUUCGGGUUGUAAACCGCUUUCGCCUGUGACGAAGCGUGAGUGACGGUAAUGGGUAAAGAGGCACCGGCUAACUACGUG
rnacentral:rRNA from 1 species